rnacentral:rRNA from 1 species
UACGUAGGAGGCGAGCGUUGUCCGGAAUUACUGGGCGUAAAGCGCGUGUAGGCGGCCCUGCAAGUCGGAUGUGAAAUCCCACGGCUCAACCGUGGAAGUGCAUUCGAAACUGCAGGGCUAGAGUCCUGGAGAGGAAGGUGGAAUGCUUGGUGUAGAGGUGAAAUUCGUAGAUAUCAAGCGGAACACCGGUGGCGAAGGCGGCCUUCUGGACAGUGACUGACGCUGAGACGCGAAAGCGUGGGGAGCAAACAGG